rnacentral:rRNA from 1 species
GACGAACGCUGGCGGCGUGCUUAACACAUGCAAGUCGAACGGUAAGUAGAGUAGCAAUACUUUACCAAGAGUGACGCACGGGUGCGUAACACGUAUGCAACCUACCCUUUACAGAAGUAUAGCUCGGGGAAACUCGAAUUAACCCUUCAUAGUAUAGAUGAAUGGCAUCAUUUAUUUAUUAAAUCUGCGGAGGUAAAGGAUGGGCAUGCGUCUGAUUAGCUAGUUGGUAGUGUAAUGGACUACCAAGGCGAUGAUCAGUAGGGGAACUGAGAGGUUGAUCCCCCACACUGGCACUGAGAUACGGGCCAGACUCCUACGGGAGGCAGCAGUAGGGAAUAUUGGUCAAUGGGGUGAGAGCCUGAACCAGCCAUGCCGCGUGCAGGAAGACGGCCUUCUGGGUUGUAAAACUGCUUUUUGCCCAGGGGAUAAAAAUUUCCUUGCGAGGAAAAUUGAAGGUACCUGGUGAAUAAGCCACGGCUAACUACGUG